rnacentral:rRNA from 1 species
UACGAAGGGUGCAAGCGUUACUCGGAAUUACUGGGCGUAAAGCGUGCGUAGGUGGUUUGUUAAGUCUGUUGUGAAAGCCCCGGGCUCAACCUGGGAAUGGCAAUGGAUACUGGCAGGCUAGAGUGCGGUAGAGGGUAGUGGAAUUCCCGGUGUAGCGGUGAAAUGCGUAGAGAUCGGGAGGAACACCAGUGGCGAAGGCGGCUACCUGGACCGGUUCUGACACUGAGGAGCGAAAGCGUGGGGAGCGAUCCGG